rnacentral:rRNA from 1 species
AACGAACGCUGGCGGCAUGCCUAACACAUGCAAGUCGAACGAGACCUUCGGGUCUAGUGGCGCACGGGUGCGUAACGCGUGGGAACCUGCCCUUAGGUUCGGAAUAACUCCCCGAAAGGGGUGCUAAUACCGGAUAAUGUCUUCGGACCAAAGAUUUAUCGCGUUUGGAUGGGCCCGCGUUGGAUUAGCUAGUUGGUAGGGUAAAAGCCUACCAAGGCGACGAUCCAUAGCUGGUCUGAGAGGAUGAUCAGCCACACUGGGACUGAGACACGGCCCAGACUCCUACGGGAGGCAGCAGUGGGGAAUAUUGGACAAUGGGCGAAAGCCUGAUCCAGCAAUGCCGCGUGAGUGAUGAAGGCCUGAGGGUUGUAAAGCUCUUUUACCCGGGAUGAUAAUGACAGUACCGGGAGAAUAAGCUCCGGCUAACUCCGUG